UGGGGGUUCUGAUCCCGGAUCCCGAUUACUGUUUUGUCAUAUUCCCAUAUCCCGCUUACACUAUGCAAGUAAGCAAUUCUCAUUUUUUUGUAAUUUCCCGUGUCUCGCUAGACUUCAUUUCCCGUUUUCACGGCCCAAUAUUUUGACCUUCACACGUCACGCUUACAAAAAAUCGGCAAUUCCGCGUCACGCUUAGACCCAAUUGAGACCAACUCGAGAGUUGUCUCAAUGGCAAUCAUACAACACCUCUUAAUAUUUAUAUUAAAAAUCUUCGAAAGUC
rnacentral:lncRNA from 1 species